rnacentral:rRNA from 1 species
AACGAACGAGGGAGGAAGGAAGAACACAGGCAAGUCGAACGAGACCUUCGGGUCUAGUGGCGCACGGGUGCGUAACGCGUGGGAACCUGCCCUUAGGUUCGGAAUAACUCCCCGAAAGGGGUGCUAAUACCGGAUAAUGUCUUCGGACCAAAGAUUUAUCGCCUUUGGAUGGGCCCGCGUUGGAUUAGCUAGUUGGUAGGGUAAAAGCCUACCAAGGCGACGAUCCAUAGCUGGUCUGAGAGGAUGAUCAGCCACACUGGGACUGAGACACGGCCCAGACUCCUACGGGAGGCAGCAGUGGGGAAUAUUGGACAAUGGGCGAAAGCCUGAUCCAGCAAUGCCGCGUGAGUGAUGUAGGCCUUAGGGUUGUAAAGCUCUUUUACCCGGGAUGAUAAUGACAGUACCGGGAGAAUAAGCUCCGGCUACCUCCGUG